UUUAAUGAGGUCUUUUUCUCUCUUUUGUUGUUUUUUUGCCCUUUUUUUCCAGGGUCCUGCAGGAAGACCUGGACUUCCGGGACUCAAGGGCCAACCAGGAGAGAAGGGAGCCCCAGGAGAUGCUGGAAUGUCUAUUAUUGGUCCUCGUGGUCCCCCGGGUCAGCCUGGCACAAGAGGCUUUCCUGGAUUUCCGGUGAGUGGGGAUGGUUUCUGUAAAUGCCCUUGCCCAUCCAUUUCAGCUGGGCCUCAUUGCACUGAGUCGUCCCUUACAUGGGCAUUCCCCUCUGAAGCAACAGUGGCUCUUUCGUGGAGUGCUCUACUCCUCAGCCCUUCCGAAAAUGAAGCCAGACUUGGGAUAGCUCAGAGCUGGGACUGCUUCUAGUUGUUAGAGAGAGAGAGAAAAGGGAAAG
rnacentral:lncRNA from 1 species